AGAGUUUGAUCCUGGCUCAGGACGAACGCUGGCGGCGUGCUUAACACAUGCAAGUUGUACGGUACGACAUGGAAGCUUGCUGAAGUGUCGUAGAGUAGCGAACGGGUGAGUAAUGCAUGAGAAUCUGCCCUUUGGAGGGGGACAACAGCUGGAAACGGCUGCUAAUACCCCGUAAGCCGGGAGGUGAAAGGUACGCGAGUACUGCCGGGGGAUGAGCUCAUGUCCUAUCAGCUGGUUGGUGGGGUAACGGCCCACCAAGGCGACGACGGGUAGCCGGCCUGAGAGGGUGACCGGCCACACUGGAACUGAGACACGGUCCAGACUCCUACGGGAGGCAGCAGUGGGGAAUUUUGGGCAAUGGGGGAGACCCUGACCCAGCGACGCCGCGUGAGGGAAGACGGCCUUCGGGUUGUAAACCUCUUUUGUACGGGAAGAUAAUGACGGUACUGUACGAAUAAGUCCCGGCUAACUACGUGCCAGCAGCCGCGGUAAUACGUAGGGGACGAGCGUUGUCCGGAAUUACUGGGCGUAAAGGGCGCGCAGGCUGCGUUACAAGUCAGCUGUUAAAAUCAUGGGCUUACCCCAUGAGUGCGGUUGAAACUGUAGUGCUUGAGUACUGUAGAGGCAAGCGGAAUUCCCAGUGUAGCGGUGAAAUGCGUAGAUAUUGGGAGGAACACCGGUGGCGUAGGCGGCUUGCUGGACAGUAACUGACGCUGAGGCGCGAAAGCCAGGGGAGCAAACGGGAUUAGAUACCCCGGUAGUCCUGGCUGUAAACGAUGAAUGCUAGGUGUGGGUGUAGCGAUACAUCUGUGCCGUAGUUAACGCGUUAAGCAUUCCGCCUGGGGAGUACGGUCGCAAGAUUGAAACUCAAAGGAAUUGACGGGGGCCCGCACAAGCGGUGGAGCACGUGGUUUAAUUCGAUGCAAACCGAAGAACCUUACCUGGGUUUGACAUGUACGUGGUACGGAAGUGAAAGCGGAAGGACUGUGCCUUCGGGUACGGAGCGUACACAGGUGCUGCAUGGCUGUCGUCAGCUCGUGUCGUGAGAUGUUGGGUUAAGUCCCGCAACGAGCGCAACCCCUGCAUUCAGUUGCCAUCGGGUCGAGCCGGGCACUCUGAAAGGACUGCCGGCGACAAGCCGGAGGAAGGUGGGGAUGACGUCAAGUCAUCAUGGCCCUUAUAUCCAGGGCGACACACGUGCUACAAUGGCCGGCACAGCGGGAAGCGAGUCAGUGAUGAUGAGCGGAUCCCUCAAAGCCGGUCCCAGUUCGGAUUGAAGUCUGCAACCCGACUUCAUGAAGCAGGAAUCGCUAGUAAUCGCAGAUCAGCCAAGCUGCGGUGAAUACGUUCCCGGGCCUUGUACACACCGCCCGUCACACCACCCGAGUUGGGUGCACCCGAAGCCGGCGGCCUAACCCCGUAAGGGGGAGGAGCUGUUUAAGGUGUGUCCGGUAAGGGGGGUGAAGUCGUAACAAGGUAGCCGUACCGGGAGGUGCGGCUG
rnacentral:rRNA from 1 species